rnacentral:rRNA from 1 species
AUACGGAGGAUCCAAGCGUUAUCCGGAUUUAUUGGGUUUAAAGGGUGCGUAGGCGGACUUAUAAGUCAGCGGUGAAAGUUUGCAGCUUAACUGUAAAAUUGCCGUUGAAACUGUUAGUCUUGAGUGUAAAUGAGGUAGGCGGAAUGUGUUGUGUAGCGGUGAAAUGCUUGGAUAUCACGCAGAACGCCAAUUGCGAAGGCAGCUGGCCGGGCCGCAAUCGACGCUGAGGCACGAAAGCGUGGGGAUC